UACGUAGGGUGCGAGCGUUGUCCGGAAUUAUUGGGCGUAAAGGGCUCGUAGGCGGUUUGUCGCGUCGGGAGUGAAAACUCAGGGCUUAACCCUGAGCCUGCUUCCGAUACGGGCAGACUAGAGGUAUGCAGGGGAGAACGGAAUUCCUGGUGUAGCGGUGAAAUGCGGCAGAAUAUCAGGAGGAACACCGGUGGCGAAGGCGGGACUCCGUGGGCCGAUGACUGACGCUGGAGG
rnacentral:rRNA from 1 species